ACCCCCUCAAUUUCCGGGAUCGAUCGUGUUUAACUCGGAAAGAAAACCUGUUCAUCGAUCAUCAAUCAAUCAAUCGCCAACCACCGGCAACCACAAUGCAACCAGGCGAUCACACCUCCACCACUCCGUAUCAUCGCAAUUACCCUCAAAACCCUAAACCUAAUCCCAUCACCACCGAUCACCACCAUCCUCCGGUAACUUACGCCUCCGCCAACACCACUACUUACCAUCCUCCAACCACCGAAUACUAUCCUCCUUACCCUCAACAGAAUCCCGAUCAUCUCUCUCCUACUGACCCUUCUUACGAUCCUCCCUCUCCAAACCCUAAUCCACAACCCCCAAUUCUCCCCAAAGUUGAAGCAUCGCAUACUCCGUAUCGAUCUCAACAGCCUUAUAAUCCACCUUAUGAUCAUCACCAGACGCAUCCCACUUACCCAUCUCCACCGGCGUCUUCGAUUCCUCAAAAUCGCAUCCCUUUGAGCCACAGUUCAAGCGUUCAGUACUCAUCGUCUCUGUAUAAUAAUGCACCUUCGGUUCCGAGUCAGGUCCAGGGUCCCGUAUAUGAGAGUCCAUACGAGACAGGUUAUGAUCGUAAUUACGGUAGGAGCUCAUCGGAUUUAAGGGUCGGGGGUGGGAGUGUUGAUUAUCAUGGGAAGCGACCGGAUGUGGGGAUGUCUAGGUUUGAAUCAAGCGGUGGGUAUGGUGAAGGUGUUAAUGAUAUACCAAUGGCUGAUACAAGGGAAGGUGUUAAGGGUGGGGUAAAGAAGUUCAGGGUGAAGUUGUUGGCUGAAAGUGGCAACCAGAUCACCAUGGAUGUUCUUUGCCAGGUAUGGUGAAACAAACCACUUUUUGUAUUUUUUUGGCUGAUUAAUCUUUCUGCUGGUUAGUAUGUAUGUUUUUCUAUGAUGUUUUUCUUAGAGAAAUUCUAUCCAUCAUGCAUUAUACUUUGUCAUUGUUAGUCCUCAUCUGCAUUUAAUAUGUUUAUCUGCCUUCUGGUGAUGAUUGAUUAAGAAUUGAUCUACAUUCUGGCAUGCAGUUUGCAUAAUCAUUAAAUUUUGUUCCUUUAGAGUUCUAGAGAGUAGCUGAAAUAACAGUAGAGGGUGCAAUUCAGAUAUGAAAAUAAAAGGGGUCCAACACAUAUUAGAACUGUUAAUAUAGUUCUUAUAAUAGUUUGUUUGUGGUCAUUCCUUUAAGAUCACUUUUUUUUGUCAGACUAAUAGUAAAGACAGAUUGCACAUAAAAGAAACGAUCCUUCUUAAAUUCUUAUUUUAAGAAACAUACUCUUAAACUCAAGUACUCAACAUUUAUGUGCAUACAUGAUAAGUUUAUAAUCAAAUUCCAGACCUUGUCACUUCAUAUAGGAAUUGACUUAAUAUUUGUAUUAUACUUUUAUAAUCACAUCAAUUACAUCAUGUAAUAUCCUCAAAUUUGAUCCAAACUCCAAUGGUUGAGUCCUAAUUAACAUUAUAAAGUGAAUUGUAGUGUGAUAUAUGGUAUGUUACAAUGAUGACUCUAUUGAAAUUAACAAAAUAUUUUGUUAUUAAUCUUCAUCUUUGACUUUAUAUGGAUCAUUGGUUGUGCAGAUAUACACAAACAUUUCAUGUGAAAUAAAAAUUUAAUAUAAUUUUGAACUCAAUUAACAUUGGGAAUAUGAUUUAACUAUGUGGUAUUGAACUAUUGAUUUCAUGUCAUGUCAUAAUAGGCAUUGAUUCCUGUUGUAAGUUGUAACAUGCAGUUGUAUUAAUUGUGUUUCUGGAUUAUGUUAUAGCAUUUUUUCUUUUCAUUUUUUUAGUCUUGUAUAUGAUAUAAUGCCACCUUAUUUCCUCAUCUAUUUCAUAGUGAAUCUAAAUCCCUUGUUUCUUUUCUCAGAUUGGAUCGGAUGAUAUCCAAAUUCUUGAUCCAUCUACCAAUCAGACUUUGAGAAUAUAUCCUCUUGAUACAGUAACAAGAUGUGAAGUAUGUUCCUUCAUCAUCCUUUUCCUUUACGUCUAAAUGCAAGAAAUAACAAUAUACUUUUAUUUAUUUAUCAUUACCUCAUCAUCUUUUUUUCUUUUUAUUACACAUUAUGCUUUUGAUUUUUAUCCUAUUAAGGCAUUGUAUUUUGAAAAUCUACUCUACUGUAGCAUUGUACUUUCAAUGUUUUUCUUAUUUGGACAUUAUGAUUUGAAAAAUCUACCCAAUUAUUGCAAUGAAAAUUGUUAUGUAUUUGGUUAACAAGACUAUAAUGGGUAGAUCUUUUAAAGCAUACCGAUGUAAUAAGUAGAAAUAAAAGUAGAAUACUAUAAAAAACACAUCAGUUAAAUUACGUUGCUAUUUCUUCUAUUUACUGAUUACCCUUUUAUUUAUUUGUUACAAUAUAACUUUUUUCUUUAUGUAUUUUGUAGGUGUACGACUCAUCUACCUUUGCAUUUUGGUCGAAGAGUUCUUUAGACAUUGAGCCAAAGUGUAUAAGGAUGCAAUCCAAUAGUUACAUUACAAAAACAUUAUUGGACAUUUUUACAACAACCACUCAAGCAACCACCCAGGUUAGAUAUUCAAUAUUGUAGAUUAAAAAAAUCAUUUUUUUUAAUUAUCUUUAAACUUUUUUCAUAAAGCCCUUCUUAUGUGAGAAAUAUAAAUGUUUCUUAAAGAAACAAAAGGGUUAUUAGUAAUUAAAGGAUUAAAUAUCGAAAAUACUAAAUUAAACCUUGCUAUAUUGUAGAUGACAAACUCAAAUGUUUCCACACACCAAACUUUAUCCCUCCGUUCCAUCCUAGACAAAGAAAAACUGAGUGGUCUUAAUUUCCUCGAUUGGUUUAGAAAUAUGAGAAUUGUUCUCAGAAGCGAAAAGAAAGAUUAUAUCCUUGACGGACCAAUCCCAGAAGAACCACCACCCAAUGCUUCUAAGGCCAUAAAAGAUACCUGGGCGAAACAUAACGAUGAUUCGAAUGAGGUGGCUUGCAUCAUGCUUGCAUGUAUGGUACCUGAACUUCAAAAAACAUUUGAGUUUCAUACAGCGUUCGAUAUGAUCGAACAAUUGAAACUGAUGUUUCAAGUUCAGGCUAAGCAAGAGCGUUUUGCAACCAUGAACGAAUUCAUUGGUUGCAAAAUGACUGAAGGUUCUUCUGUGAGUGCACAUGUUCUCAAAAUGAAAGCUUACGUUGAGCAGCUUUCUCGCCUUGGAUUCUCUAUCCGUGAUGAGCUUGCAAUUGAUGUGAUCCUUGGCUCACUGCCUAAAUCGUUUAGUCAGUUCGUGUUGAAUUACAACAAGAACAAUUGGGAAAAAUCUAUCUCUGAAUUGCAUUCGAUGCUGAAAACUGUAGAGGCAAACAUGAAGAAAUCUAGACCUCAAGUUUUGAUGGUCCGUGAAGGGAAAAUCACAAAGAAUGUCAAAACCGGUAAUGUGAUCGGAAAGGGAAAAGCCUUUGAGAAAGGCAAAGAGAAGUUCAAGGUUAAAGGCAAGGCACCUACCUCUAAACCUAUAGCAAAAACAAAGCCUCAUGCAGACGCUGACUGUUUUCAUUGCAAUCAAAAGGGACACUGGAAACGCAAUUGUCCCCUUUACCUAGAGGAAAUUAAGAAGAACAAGGCCAACGCGAUUGGUACCUCAGGGAUUAAGGAAGAGAGUUGAGAUUUGACAAUUUGGAGUUGCAUGUAAGAAUUAGAAAAUGGUGUUAAAUGACAUGCAUCUUAUUUUGAAUAGUUGUUAUUUAGCUAAUCUAACUAGAAACAUUCUCAGUUUUCUUUCUGGUUGUAUGUUUCCGUAUUUAAUUUGAUUUUUGUUAUGGAAAUUGAUGUGUAAUUUAUAUGCUUGCUAGGUUAUAAACUUGUAUACAUGACUGACCAAUUAAAAUAAUUUAGAUAAUAAGAAAUAUUUAUUAUUUGUUCAUAAAAUUGCGAAAACGUUUUUGUACAUAACAUCUCAAAUGGUAUUAAAAUGUAAAAAAAAAAGUUUUUUAAUUCAUGAUUAAUGAGAAUGUUAUAGUGUAUAAUAAAAGAUUAAAAUUUGAUAGACCGAAGAUAACAAUAAUCAUACAUGAUAUUGACCAAUUAAAAUAACUUAGAUAAUAAGAAAUAUUUAUUAUUUAUUCAUAAAAUUGCGAAAACGUUUUUGUACAUAACAUCUCAAAUGGUAUUAAAAUGUAAUUUUUUUAAUUCAUAAUUAAUGAGAAUGUUAUAAUGUAUAAUAAAAGAUUAAAAUUUGAUAGACCGAAGAUAAUAAUAAUCAUACAUGAUACCACCAUCUAGAUAUUAUAUAUUAUAAAAAAAAAUUUAUAACGAAUAAGGUAAUCUAAUAAAGUUAUUAAAACUUAAUAAAUUAGAGAUAAAAAUCCCAACAAAAAUAUAAUAGAGUUAUAUGUAUGUAAAAAAUAAAAAAUAAACUCAACUAAAAAAAUAAGGAAUACAUAGUAAUAAAGAAAUGAUGUUCUAAGUGAUAAAACAUAUCCCUUAAACAUAAAAGUGUAUUAAAUCAUGUUAUAGUUAUCUAUCUUAUGAGUUUUUGGUUUCAUUAAGUAGUUUAUAUUGGAAGCAUAUUAUAUUUCUUUUAAUAAUUAACCCUUAAAUCUUAGAAGUUGCCAUUUAAGGAACCAUUUAAUAAAAUGAUCAUCACUUGUGUUUUAUACAAAAAUGAACACCAAUUUCAAAGUAUAGAGACAUGGCAAUACUCUUCAUAUCACUUUUUGUAUGGUUCAUAUCUUAAAAAAUAAGCAAUAAGUCGAAAUCCAUAAUGUUUUUUAUCCAUUUCUUUUAAAGUAUCUUCAAAAUUUUUUUUGGUAGCAAACAAAUAUCAUAAUGCAAAUUGGAAAGUUAGGUUGAAAGAUAUUUUAAAGUAUUUUGUUUAAAAAUAAAAAAUUGACAAAAAGACAUGUAUUAAGGAUAUAGAUAUGUAGGAUAAUUUUACAAUAUAAAUAAAAAUUGGUGGUCAUUUUGUUUGAACAUAAAAAAAUAUAAUCAUGUUAAAAAUCUUUCUUAAUUUUCUUUUUUUAUGAUUUUUUCGAAGUUUAUGGUUUGUUGAUUUAUAUUGCAAUCUUGGUAAUAUUUAGAAAAAUAUCAGACAAUUUAUGUGUUUAUAUGACAUUAGACUUGAACUUGGAAAAUAUAUCAAUAUCUCUUAUCAACUUAAAUACAUAAAAUAAUGGCAUGCAACAAAUAAUCAUUAAAACUGUUUGAACAGUGAAUCAAUCACAUAAAAUUCAUUAACAGGAGGUUGAAAGUGUGGAAUAAAGAGGUUAAAAGUAAGGAAAUCUCUAGAAAAAAAAAAGAUUUUGGAUCUUAUAAAGGAGAUUGAAAAGAAGAUGGAGACUGCUAAGGUUUCUAAUACCGAAAAACAUACUAGGUUGAGUUACUUACAAGAGCUGCAACAAAUUGAAAGAUUGGAAAGUAUGAAUCUUUUUUCAGAAAGCUAAAAUGUGGAAGGUGAUGAAAAUACUAAUGGUGCAACUAGUUGCGGAAAAAUUGAUCGCUUUCCGAAAUUUUUUUUCCAAGAAAAAUGAGAUGUUUCAAAACGCGUUUAGUUUCUUUGAACAUACACCCACUCCUACCUCUACCUAUCCCCACCUUAACACCCACAACCCACCUACCCACACCCACCCACUCCCAAGCCCACCCCCACAAACACACACAAAUACACAUACCCAUACCUUAACCACCACCCCCACAAACACACACACACACACACACCCAACACCAUUACCACAAUCACCGACCUAUCAUCACCACCACCACCACGACUACCACCUCACCAGUAUCACCACCAUCGUCGCUAUCAUCGACAUCACCACUGCCCCCACCCCAUCCUACCACCGUUACUGUUUUCUAAAAAUAAAAACCGAUAGAAAUAUAUACAUCUAAACGUUUUUUUUCUAAUUUUUUAAAACUGAAAAUGUAAAAUGAAUAAGUUUUAACUAAAUGCGUUUUCUAAAUUUUCCAAUGAAAACUGAAAACAAAAAACUAAAACUAAAAAGGGAAAACGAAAAACGGAAAAUGAAAACUGUUUUUCUGUAACUAAACGCAACCUAAGGUUGCAUUUAGUUACGGAUAAAUUGGUCGUUUUUCGGAAAAAAUUUCCAAGAAAAAUGAGAAUACGCCGUGCGUACCUUGUGUACGCCCAACGUACUCGGGCCAAGUCUACUAACAAUAAGAAGUUUAAUGCAAGAAUUUUACUUGGCAAAUCCAGACGUUACAGUUACACUUGCACUAUUUUACAUCUCAUUCAUGUUAUAAAACUCCUUCACAAAAAGUCUUGAUGUGUUGCGUAAUCCAAGAUUAUGCAUGGCAUAAUCUACUUAACAGAUUUCAUACUUAACCAAAUUUCUCAUUUUAUCCUUAUAACCAAUAUCACAAAAUCCAACUUGAUUAAAUAAAUUAUUGUGAUUAGUUUGACAAUUUCUAAGUAUCGUUUUAACAUAUAACAAGGUAUUACUCUACUUAAUGAUUAACAUUUUAUAUCUUUUGCCACUUUUGACAAAAUAUUCCUUUCGCAUUAAAAUUCAAUACAACAUUUUUCAUUCAAAUUUUAAGGGAUGCUACAAUUACUCGCUUACAAUACUUAUACUUCAUGCUAAUGAAAUGGAACCGAAGGCGGAAGACCAACAAAUCGUCGCAGUAGCCAUCAUAGUUUCCUCCUUCCUCAAUACAUGUUUCAAUGGUCUCAAUGCUUUAUUUGGCUACUCUCAAGUUUCUUUUAUAAUUCAUCGAUUUUGAUUGUAAGAGUGAUUAGGUAAUGAAUUUAAAGGAGGUGGUGAUUUUAACCAAAAUAAAGGUCAAAACAUUGUAUGAUUUCAAAAUCUAUCAUUGAAAAUCACAUUGAGAAAAGUAUUGAUCAAAUUCGAUAAGGACAGGUUCAAGUUUCAAAUUGAAGACAAUUAUAUUUAUAUGAUGUUGAUGAAAUUAUGUCAUAUUCAUCGAAAAAUUGUCUACAUAACACACAAAUUUGGGUUGGAUUCAAUUGUUAUUUGAUUUGGUUUGGAGAUGUGCCUUGUAGGUAUCUCACUCCAUAUCUUUGGUUGUUGUCUAACCCAUGGUUAUAAUAUAUAACCAUAGGUUAGACAACAACCAAAGAUAUGGAGUGAGAUAUCUACAAGGCACAUCUCCAAACCAAGUCAAAUAACAAUUGUUGGCCUCUAUGGUUAGUGUUCCAAUCAAUAGAUUGUUCUCAUAAUGCAAACAUUAUUUCUGAGUGAUCCUGCUGUUGGAUUGAAGGAUCUGGAGGGCUAAUCCAUGCAUUUCAUAAACACCAUUUCACAAAGCAAAACCAUAAAAACUCAUUUAAAAAAAACCGAAGAAGGACCAAAUAUGUGAAUUUAGGCAAAUCAUAGGACCAAAUGUGUAUCUACUCUUCUCGUAAUGUCUUUUUUCUUCUUUAUUAUUAUUAUAAUAUUAUAUUUUUCAAUUUGUCUUUGGACACAUCAUCUUGCGUUACUUCUUCCUCAAUUUCCUGGAUCGAUCAUCGUUUACCUCGAGAAGAAAACCCUCUUCAUCAUUAAUCAUUCAUCAAUCAAUCAAUCGGCAACCACCGGCAACCACCAUGCAACAAGGCGAUUACACCUCCACCACUCCGUAUUAUCACAAUUAUCCUCAAAACCCAAACCCUAAUCCCAUCACCACCGAUCUCCACCAUCCUCCGGUAACUUACGCCUCCGCACCUCCCUUCACCAACACCACUACUUACCAUCCUCCAACCUCCGAUUACUAUCCUCCUUACCCUCAACAGAAUCCCGAUCCUCUCCCUCCUACUGCUCCUUCUUACGCUCCUCCUCCUCCAAACCCUAAUCAACAACCCUCAAGUUUCCCCCAAUUCGAAGCGUCGCAUACUCCUUAUCAAUCUCAACAGCCUUAUAAUCCACCUUAUGAUCAUCAUCAGACGCCUCCCACUUACCCAUCUCCACCGGCGUCUUCGAUUCCUCACAAUCCUAUCCCUCUGAACCACAGUUCAAGCUUUCAGUACUCCUCGUCUCUGUAUAAUAAUCCACCGUCGGUUCCUAGUCAGGUCCCGGGUCCCGUAUACGAGAGUCCGUUUGAGUCUGGUUAUGGUGGUAAUUACGGUAGGAGCUCAUCGGAUCUAGGGGCCGGAGGUGGGAGUGUUGAUUAUUAUGGGAAGCGACCGGAUGUGGGGAUGUCUAGGUUUGAAUCAAGCGGUGGGUAUGGAGGUGAUGGGUAUGGUGAAGGUGUUUAUGCUUAUCAAGGGGGUAAGGUCGAGCCCUAUGGUUCUAGGGGUACUGCGCCAAAGUCUUCUACCUGGAAAGAACAGGUGAUUUUUGAUGAUUUUGGGCGUCCUAUUGGUUUACCUGGUAAGGACUCUCCAUCCGUAUCGUCUCCAAAGAUUGUGAAGGCUGUACCAAAGGCUGAGACACGGGAAGAUGUUAAGGGUGGGGUACAGAAGUUCAGGGUGAAAUUGUUGGCUGAAAGUGGUGGCCAGAGCACCAUGGAUGUUCUUUGCCAGGUAUGGUGGAGCUACCUUUUGUACUUUUUUGCUGAUUAAUCUUUGUGCUGGAUAGUAUGUAUGUUUGUCUUUGAUGGUUUUUUUGUAGAGAAGUUUUAUGCAUUGUGUCAUUUUACUAUGUCUUAUUAUGUUAGAUUGUUAGUCCUCAUCUACAUUCAAUAUGUUUAUCUGCCUUUUGCUGUUGAUUGAUUCAGAAUUGAUCUACAUUCUGGCAUGCAGUUUGGAUAAUCGUUAAAUUUUCUUUCUUUAGAGCUCUAUAGAGUAGCUGAUUACAGUAGCAAGUCCAAUCCAUAAAUGAAAAUAAUAGGGGUCCAAAAAAAACGUAUUAGAACUGUUAAUAUAGUCACUAAUUUUGAUCUUAAAUGAUAAGUUUAUAAUCAAACAACAGAUUCUUGUCAUAACAUGCAUUAGUACAUGAUUCUUUUACCUUUUUUCCUCAUCUAUUUCAUGGUGAUUCUCAAUCCCUUAUUUCUUUUUUCUCAGAUUGGAUUGGAUGGUAUUCGAAUGCUUGAUCCAUCUACAAGUCGAACUUUAAGAAUAUAUCCACUUGAUACAGUAACAAGAUGUGAAGUAUGUUCUUUCCUCAUCCUUUUCCUUUUCUUUAUGUUUGUAACUUUUCCAUCUGUUACAAUAAAACUUUUUCUUUUUUUUCUUUAUGUGUGUUUUGUAGGUGUAUGACUCAUCCACCUUUGCAUUUUGGUCAAAGAGUUCUGUAGACAUUGAGCCAAGGCGUAUAAGGCUUCAAUCCAAUAGUUACACUACAAACACAUUAUUGGACACUGUUACAGCAGCAACCAUUCAGGUUUAAUCUUACAAACUAAAAAAAAAUAAUUUUUUUAUUAUCUUUCAACUUUUUUCACAAAACCCUUCUGCCUAUGUGAGAAAUAUUAUCUGUUUUUCACAAUUGUAGAGAGUAGAGACUCUUGUUCUUUCUUGAAAUUCUUGCUUUAUGUUAUAGAGUUGAGUGCUUGUGUUCUUGAAUCUAGUUUUAGUUUUACAUUCUUAAUUUUUUUUUUUAAAAAAUUGUAGGUGAAGGAGAUGGGAGGAAGGAGCAGGCCUGCUGAUGCUGUUAAAGUGAAUGAUCAGUCAUCUGAAAAGAAAAAGGGUUUGGGUGAUUGGAUGAAUAUAAUUAAACCUCCAAAUGAGGAGAAAGAU
rnacentral:lncRNA from 1 species